rnacentral:rRNA from 1 species
AGAGUUUGAUCCUGGCUCAGGAUGAACGCUAGCUACAGGCUUAACACAUGCAAGUCGAGGGGAAACGACAUCGAAGGCUUGCUUUUGAUGGGCGUCGACCGGCGCACGGGUGAGUAACGCGUAUCCAACCUGCCCAUCACUUGGGGAUAACCUUGCGAAAGUAAGACUAAUACCCAAUGACGUCUCUAGAAGACAUCUGAAGGAGAUUAAAGAUUUAUCGGUGAUGGAUGGGGAUGCGUCUGAUUAGCUUGUUGGCGGGGUAACGGCCACCAAGGCGACGAUCAGUAGGGGUUCUGAGAGGAAGGUCCCCCANAUUGGAACUGAGACACAGUCCAAACUCCUACGGGAGCA